rnacentral:lncRNA from 1 species
UGUGUACUUUGAAAUAAGUCUCAAGAUGAAUCUCAUGUGCACCGAAGUUUGAGGAUUAUUGUUUUAUCCCUUUUCUCCUUAGCUCGGACCCCUCUUGGUAAUAGAACAACGCUAUAAGCACAGUCUCAGAUUUGUGUGAUGUUUUCUAAUUCACAAGGCUUUUUUCACACAUUGGUCUAAUUUAAUACUAACGUGAUGGGGCUGAUUUAACAACAGCCCUCUGAUUUGGAUCCCUUUCCCAUUCACUUUUCAGAUGAGGAGACAGGAAUGAGAGUCUUUGGAUCACAUGACAAGUUCCCGGCAAAGCCUGUGUUCAUCCCAAGUUUUGUGAUUCCAGUGUCAACUUGGAGGAGGUAGUGCAGUGUAUGAGGAGAGCUAGGACAAAUGAGGAUGGUUUGGG